UGGGGAAUAUUGCACAAUGGAGGGAACUCUGAUGCAGCGACGCCGCGUGAACGAAGAAGGCUUUCGAGUCGUAAAGUUCUUUUAUAUGGGAAGAUAAUGACGGUACCAUAAGAAAAAGCCCCGGCUAACUACGUGCCAGCAGCCGCGGUAAUACGUAGGGGGCUAGCGUUGUCCGGAAUCACUGGGCGUAAAGGGUUCGCAGGCGGAAAUGCAAGUCAGGUGUAAAAGGCAGUAGCUUAACUACUGUAAGCAUUUGAAACUGCAUAUCUUGGGAAGGGUAGAGGUAAGUGGAAUUUUUGGUGUAGCGGUGAAAUGCGUAGAUAUUAAAAAGAAUACCGGUGGCGAGGGCGACUUACUGGGCUCAUUCUGACGCUGAGGAACGAAAGCGUGGGUAGCAAACAGG
rnacentral:rRNA from 1 species